AUUGAACGCUGGCGGCAGGCUUAACACAUGCAAGUCGAGCGGGGAAGGGUAGCUUGCUACCUGACCUAGCGGCGGACGGGUGAGUAAUGCUUAGGAAUCUGCCUAUUAGUGGGGGACAACAUUCCGAAAGGAAUGCUAAUACCGCAUACGCCCUACGGGGGAAAGCAGGGGAUCUUCGGACCUUGCGCUAAUAGAUGAGCCUAAGUCAGAUUAGCUAGUUGGUGGGGUAAAGGCCUACCAAGGCGACGAUCUGUAGCGGGUCUGAGAGGAUGAUCCGCCACACUGGGACUGAGACACGGCCCAGACUCCUACGGGAGGCAGCAGUGGGGAAUAUUGGACAAUGGGCGCAAGCCUGAUCCAGCCAUGCCGCGUGUGUGAAGAAGGCCUUUUGGUUGCAAAGCACUUUAAGCGAGGAGGAGGCUACUUGGAUUAAUACUCUAGGAUAGUGGACGUUACUCGCAGAAUAAGCACCGGCUAACUCUGUGCCAGCAGCCGCGGUAAUACAGAGGGUGCGAGCGUUAAUCGGAUUUACUGGGCGUAAAGCGUGCGUAGGCGGCUUUUUAAGUCGGAUGUGAAAUCUCUGAGCUUAACUUAGGAAUUGCAUUCGAUACUGGGAAGCUAGAGUAUGGGAGAGGAUGGUAGAAUUCCAGGUGUAGCGGUGAAAUGCGUAGAGAUCUGGAGGAAUACCGAUGGCGAAGGCAGCCAUCUGGCCUAAUACUGACGCUGAGGUACGAAAGCAUGGGGAGCAAACAGG
rnacentral:rRNA from 1 species